AGAGGGUGUCUUCCCACCGACACU
rnacentral:siRNA from 1 species